GAUCAGUGGCUCGAGGACAACGGCUGGCGGCGUGCUUAACACAUGCAAGUCGAACGGAGUGCCUUAGAUUGAGACUUCGGUCAAUUUCUUGGUUACUUAGUGGCGGACGGGUGAGUAACACGUGAGUAACCUGCCCUUGAGAGGGGAAUAACACACCGAAAGGUGUGCUAAUACCGCAUAACAUAUUAGGAUCGCAUGAUUUUAAUAUCAAAGAUUUAUCGCUCAAGGAUGGGCUCGCGGCCGAUUAGGUAGUUGGUGAGGUAACGGCUCACCAAGCCGACGAUCGGUAGCCGGACUGAGAGGUUGAACGGCCACAUUGGGACUGAGACACGGCCCAGACUCCUACGGGAGGCAGCAGUGGGGAAUAUUGCACAAUGGGGGAAACCCUGAUGCAGCGACGCCGCGUGAAGGACGAAGGUCUUCGGAUCGUAAACUUUUGUCUUCAGGGACGAUAAUGACGGUACCUGAGGAGGAAGCCACGGCUAACUACGUG
rnacentral:rRNA from 1 species